CGCCCUUCCUACGGGAGGCAGCAGUGGGGAAUAUUGGACAAUGGGCGGAAGCCUGAUCCAGCCAUGCCGCGUGAGUGAAGAAGGCCUUCGGGUUGUAAAGCUCUUUCAGAUGCGAAGAUGAUGACGGUAACAUCAGAAGAAGCCCCGGCUAAUUUCGUGCCAGCAGCCGCGGUAAUACGAAAGGGGCAAGCGUUGUUCGGAUUUACUGGGCGUAAAGGGCACGCAGGCGGUCUUGCCAGUCAGGGGUGAAAGCCCGGGGCUCAACCCCGGAACUGCCUCUGAUACUGCAGGACUAGAGACUAGGAGAGGGUGGUGGAAUUCCCAGUGUAGAGGUGAAAUUCGUAGAUAUUGGGAGGAACACCAGAGGCGAAGGCGGCCACCUGGACUAGAUCUGACGCUCAGGUGCGAAAGCGUGGGGAGCAAACAGGAUUAGAUACCCUGGUAGUCCACGCCGUAAACGAUGAGUGCUAGUUGUCGGGAUUUCGAUUUCGGUGACGCAG
rnacentral:rRNA from 1 species